UAACAAGCUUCCGGUACAAAUCGGAGUCCUCGUUCUUGACAAUCCCGAAGGUAACGACGUGCUGCAAGAAAGUGUGGACGUCAGGGGUCUUCACGUUUUCCACGCCACCGCGCUCCUCGAGGCUGGUCUUCCAAGUCUCUGCGAUCUCCGUGGCCUGCUCCUUCACAAUAGGAGUCACCAACAGCCUCGAUUUUCCGAUGACGGGGUCGACCACGACCGGAAUCAGCGACUCCAGGACAAGGACGCAGGCCCAGCCCAAGUCGUGGCCGGCCUUGUCCCCUCUCUUGUCGACCGGAAACACCUCGGAGAUCGCCUCCAGCACGAAUUUCGCCGGAUCAACGCACUCCGCCAGAGCCACAGGCAUCUCGGCGCGUAGGCCGUCGAGCUCCUUCUUCUUGGCGCUGACGAAGGCGAAGAACCCGAAUGCGUCCAUGCGGAGGCAGAAGGACUUGAGUUUGAGGAUGAGGCCGGUGGUGUCGUCGACCUCACCGUCGGGGGAGCUGUUGAUGAUGUCGUCGGCGUCGGUGAGGAGGGCGGAGAGGGCAGCGGUGCGGCGCGUGUCGAGCGUGCGGAGGGCGAUCUGGAGCGUGGCGUCGAGGGAGGUUUCGCGGCGAUCGAGGAGGCGGAGGGAGUCGGAAGUAGUGUUGUCGAGGGUGCGAAUCUUGCGUUUGAGGGCUUCGGAUUUGUGGUUGAGGUCUUGCUCGAGGGAGGAGAAGUGGUCGGAGAGCUCCUUCCAGAGGAGGGUGCAGCUGGUCAUGAGGGAAGUUUGGCGCUGGAACUCGUCGAAGCUCGGCUGAGUCAACUCGCUC
rnacentral:lncRNA from 1 species